rnacentral:rRNA from 1 species
AAUCCAUCCACAUCCACUCGCGAAUUAUUUAGUACCCCCCCUGCAGCCUCUGGGAUGCUUGGGCGGCUGUCUCUCGGGUCAGUCGGGCCCCCCUGCAAAGGGGNGUUGGCAACCAUUUUACACACCCAACCAAACUGUCUGUCUGAAGAUGACUCGAUUCGGCACUGCUGAUCGUAUAACAAAGAC